rnacentral:rRNA from 1 species
AACGAACGCUGGCGGCAGGCUUAACAUAUGCAAGUCGAGCGCCCCGCAAGGGGAGCGGCAGACGGGUGAGUAACGCGUGGGAAUCUACCCAUCUCUACGGAACAACUCCGGGAAACUGGAGCUAAUACCGUAUACGUCCUUCGGGAGAAAGAUCUAUCGGAGAUGGAUGAGCCCGCGUUGGAUUAGCUAGUUGGUGGGGUAAUGGCCUACCAAGGCGACGAUCCAUAGCUGGUCUGAGAGGAUGAUCAGCCACACUGGGACUGAGACACGGCCCAGACUCCUACGGGAGGCAGCAGUGGGGAAUAUUGGACAAUGGGCGAAAGCCUGAUCCAGCCAUGCCGCGUGAGUGAUGAAGGCCCUAGGGUUGUAAAGCUCUUUCACCGGUGAAGAUAAUGACGGUAACCGGAGAAGAAGCCCCGGCUAACUUCGUGCCAGCAGCCGCAGUAAUAC